rnacentral:rRNA from 1 species
GAUGAACGCUGGCGGCGUGCCUAAUACAUGCAAGUUGAGCGCUGAAGGUUGGUACUUGUACCAACUGGAUGAGCAGCGAACGGGUGAGUAACGCGUGGGGAAUCUGCCUUUGAGCGGGGGACAACAUUUGGAAACGAAUGCUAAUACCGCAUAAAAACUUUAAACACAAGUUUUAAGUUUGAAAGAUGCAAUUGCAUCACUCAAAGAUGAUCCCGCGUUGUAUUAGCUAGUUGGUGAGGUAAAGGCUCACCAAGGCGAUGAUACAUAGCCGACCUGAGAGGGUGAUCGGGCACAUUGGGACUGAGGCACCGCCCAAACCCCUUCGGGGGGGAGCGGGAGGGGAGCUUUGGCAAUGGGGGAAAGUCUUGCCGGGCCACGGCGGGGGGGUGGAGGAAGUUUUCGGAUCGGAAAACUCUGUUUGUAGGGAAGGACGUUAGUGAGAGUGGAAAGCUCAUGAAGUGACGGUACCUACCCAGAAAGGGACGGCUAACUACGUG